UCGUAGGUCAGCAUACUACGGUGAAUACGUUCCCGGGCCUUGUACACACCGCCCGUCAAACCAUGAGAGUUGGCAACACCCGAAGUCGGUAGUCUAACCGCAAGGAGGACGCCGCCGAAGGUGGGGUCGAUGAUUAGGGUUAAGUCGUAACAAGGUAUC
rnacentral:rRNA from 1 species